rnacentral:rRNA from 1 species
UACGUAGGGUGCGAGCGUUACUCGGAAUUACUGGGCGUAAAGUGUGCGCAGGCGGCGCCGCAAGUCGAGUGUGAAAGCCCCGGGCUUAACUUGGGAAUUGCGCUCGAAACUAUGGUGCUGGAGUGUGGCAGAGGAAGGUGGAAUUCCACGUGUAGCGGUGAAAUGCGCAGAUAUCAGGAGGAACACCGGUGGCGAAGGCGGGUCUCUGGGCCGAUACUGACGCUGAGGAGCGAAAGCGUGGGGAGCGAACAGG